CAAAAAUUUGGGUGUUAGAGGGUUAAAUAUAAGGCAUAACUCGUAAGCACAGCCUAUGCUUAAUGGAAUGAAACCUACAAUCUCUGUCUAUAGGACUAGAUGGUCUGUCGACCUUUUAUUUUUUGAAUCUUUUGUUCUUUAGACCUUUUGAUCCAGUUAUUUUGUUUAACCUUCUUUUCCUUCAAUCUUUUCGACCUUCUUUUCCUUCGACCUUGUGACCUCCAAACUUUCGUCUUUUCGACCUUUUGACACAGAUUCUGAAGGAGGGUGUUAAGUGUACAACACUGCUGUCUAAUGCCCUCUUCUAUGACUGACACCAAUUUGUUUUUACUGUUUGCUUUUUACCAUUGUCCACAACAAUCCAAACUAUGUUACUUAAAAUAAAAAAUCUACAAUUAGUGUUCAAUCGGUUUUUUACAUUGAGAUACGGAUUACCUUACAACAGUUUACCUUACAAAAAAAUUAACGAGUAAGGAAAAAAAAAAUUAAAACAACCUUAGAAAUUAUUAGAACGAACGAAACAGAGGAGAAAAAGUGUUCACGCGCCUUCAAGCUAGUUGCAGUAGAGGAUUUGUAAGGGAGAAGCAGCUUAUGCGAAAUUUCGGCAUCAGUCUUAAACACCAAUCUUCAUCAUCCUCUAUCAUUUCGAUUGCUGCUAGUUGAUGCACUUCAACUGUUGGGCGAGAGGGUUGCAAGUUUGGGAUCAUUCUGAGAAGCCGGUUUUGUUUCACUUGGAUGUUUUUCCGAUGGGUACGAGAACAGUCAUGCCACGCAGGAAAUUCGUAAGUAUUCAUAGGCCUGAAAAACGAUGUUGUACAGCAAUAUUUUAGCAACUUAACAACUUGCGCUGGUUGGAGUUGGUCCACGACUAGCUUAGCAUCACGAUGGAAAGAAAGAAUUCCGGUGUCAUCAGCAAAAGAGUAGUACUAGACACCGUUGAUUCUGGUGAGAUCGGCAGAGAAGAUGUUAUACAGUGUUGGGAUCAGUACCGAUCCUUGAGGAAUCCCGUAGGGAACACCCAAGGGAUCAGAGGUGCAACCGUUCGUCCUGACAUAAACUCUGUUACUUAUUAUCUCAUUAUCUGAUGCAAGCAAAUUUUUGUUUUUCAGGCGACAAAUAUGGUUUCUCCGAUAACCAUGGAUUCUCUGAGCGAGCCAUGUACGAUUUCUCGUCCCGGGGAACGCAAUGUUUAGUGUACGAUGGAUUCUACUACAGUAAGAAUAAAACCAGCGAGGGCGGUAUUCGGGUCAACUGGAAAUGUCGUUACUACCAGCGAUUCAAGUGCAAAGCCAGAGCUCUCACCAAAACCAUCCACGGAUGUGACUUUGUGCGGGUGUCCAGUACGGAGCAUACGCACUUGCGCGAGAUGUUCUGCAAGGAUUUGCGAAGAAAACGCCGCAAAGUCAAUACAUUUGAUUCUGCAGUUUUUAAUUACUAGAAGCAAGGAAGACAGAACCACCCGAUUGAAGUUACUGAAAUUACGAUGCCAUUAUUUUUGGAAAAUUAAAACAGGUUAAACAAAAUGUAACGUUAUCUACGUGCUAUCGAAACGUGGUAGCAAGCAUCUAUUUCACGAUGGAAAUACGUAUACUCCGAACGAGCGGCCCUACCCGGGACAACGUUCCAGAACGUGGAAGUGUACAUUGUAUUAUCGACUGAAAUGUAAAGCACGCAUAGUCACCAGCGAAGGUGGCAGUCUACCCAAGUUGCGUGUGGUGGUUGCUGAACACACCCACGAGAAACCGUUUCCCCAUUUGAGUGCGAAGUUUCGAAGUCUAUUCUGAUCCAAAGAACACAUCUAGUCAGUCAUUGUCAAAUGAUAUUUAUUGAAGUCUUUUGAAAAAUAAAUGUUCGAGUGAUUGAAGGAUUUGGUACUGCUAUUUCUCCAUGAAUAAAAAAAAAACAAACGCAAUAUGUUUCCAAAUUACUUGCAGCUGUCAACUACAGUUUCUCCGAUAACUUUGGCUUCUCUGAGCGAGCGGUUUAUGAAUUCACGCCCCGGGGAACUCAAAGUCUGGUCUACGAUGGAUUCUAUUUCAGCAAAAAUAAAACUAGUGAAGGCGGUAUACGGGUUAACUGGCAAUGUCGUCACUAUCAGCGAUUUAAAUGCAAAGCAAGAGCCCUCACUAAAACUAUUGAUGGGUGUGAUUUUGUGAGGGUUUCCAGUACGAAACAUACGCACUCGCGUGAGAUGUUUCUCAAAGAUGUGUGGCAAAAACGUCGCAAGUGAAACAUUCCCAAAAUAAAUACAUCCAUGCAUCAAUGAAAGAUAGUAAGAUUAUGAGUGUAGCAACACUUAAAAUGCCAUUCAGAGUGAUUCUCGCAAGAAGGGGAACCAUUAGAAUUAUCCGGAAUGGAAGCAAACGAAUCAUUAGCUUUUUGGAAAAUAAAUAUUCUGCGGUCUUAGAGAAUUUGGUUCGUACGACUGGGGCUCGACGAGUGAGAUUCGGUUCGUUCAUUAUACGGUCAAAAACAAAAUGAUCACAAAGCUCUACCAUCGGGGAUACACGUAUUACCGCAGUAAGCAGGUUAAUCAGGCCUCCUAUUGGGUGUGCGACAGUACAAAGCGAUACAACUGCCGGGCGAAGAUCACGAUCUUCGGCGAUAAAAGCUUGUACAAAGUGACAAAUUCGUGGCAUACGCAUGGCCCGAUCUUCUCGAGGCAUCGGUGACAAUGAAUUCGUGUGAAAGCGCAAAACUAGUACUUCUUUAUUCGAGUAUUGACAUUCAGAUGUUGCCUAUGUGAUGCCACCUUGUUGUAACGGAACUGGAAAAGAGCAUUCACAUUUUCACCGAGGUUGAUCAUCGAGUCAACCGAUCAAGUUGUUAAUCGAAGAUACAUUAACAAAAUUAAUCAAUGCAAACUAUUCGUGGAUGUGCAAAUACUGUGUCAUUUCGUAGUCGUUCUUGUUUAAAAUAUCUGCUGAGAGACGUUUGAAAUGCAAGCAAAAGCAAAAUUAUGAACAUGCAUGUUUUUUAUUUUUUGUGCAGUACUAGAAUAUAAGACAUAUUUUUGCAAUGGAAAAGUUGAACGACGAGUUUUAGAUUUUUUUCAACAUGUUAAAUAAAUUUGUUUUUUUUUAUGAAAGUCUUUUUCUCACUACAUGCAAAUAUCGUAAAAUAAAUACUGCGGUAAACAAUUAUAAUGUAAAUAUGCGUGUUCCCACAGCACCAACUCUCGACGCACAAUUCGUUUUGAGCACUAGAGGAUCACUGCAGCUGUGUAUCGAUGGAUACACAUUCACUCGACACAUUGUGAAGGAGGACACCAUCUAUUGGCGCUGCACGCAAGCCCGGGC